rnacentral:rRNA from 1 species
ACAUGCAAGUCGAGCGGGGGAGGUUGCUUCGGUAACUAGACCUAGCGGCGGACGGGUGAGUAAUGCUUAGGAAUCUGCCUAUUAGUGGGGGACAACAUUCCGAAAGGAAUGCUAAUACCGCAUACGUCCUACGGGAGAAAGCAGGGGAUCAUUUGACCUUGCGCUAAUAGAUGAGCCUAAGUCGGAUUAGCUAGUUGGUGGGGUAAAGGCCUACCAAGGCGACGAUCUGUAGCGGGUCUGAGAGGAUGAUCCGCCACACUGGGACUGAGACACGGCCCAGACUCCUACGGGAGGCAGCAGUGGGGAAUAUUGGACAAUGGGGGGAACCCUGAUCCAGCCAUGCCGCGUGUGUGAAGAAGGCCUUUUGGUUGUAAAGCACUUUAAGCGAGGAGGAGGCUCUCUUGGUUAAUACCUGAGAAGAGUGGACGUUACUCGCAGAAUAAGCACCGGCUAACUCUGUGCCAGCAGCCGCGGUAAUACAGAGGGUGCGAGCGUUAAUCGGAUUUACUGGGCGUAAAGCGCGCGUAGGUGGCUAAUUAAGUCAAAUGUGAAAUCCCCGAGCUUAACUUGGGAAUUGCAUUCGAUACUGGUUGGCUAGAGUAUGGGAGAGGAUGGUAGAAUUCCAGGUGUAGCGGUGAAAUGCGUAGAGAUCUGGAGGAAUACCGAUGGCGAAGGCAGCCAUCUGGCCUAAUACUGACACUGAGGUGCGAAAGCAUGGGGAGCAAACAGGAUUAGAUACCCUGGUAGUCCAUGCCGUAAACGAUGUCUACUAGCCGUUGGGGGAUUUGAUCCUUUAGUGGCGCAGCUAACGCGAUAAGUAGACCGCCUGGGGAGUACGGUCGCAAGACUAAAACUCAAAUGAAUUGACGGGGGCCCGCACAAGCGGUGGAGCAUGUGGUUUAAUUCGAUGCAACGCGAAGAACCUUACCUGGCCUUGACAUAGUAGAAACUUUCCAGAGAUGGAUUGGUGCCUUCGGGAAUCUACAUACAGGUGCUGCAUGGCUGUCGUCAGCUCGUGUCGUGAGAUGUUGGGUUAAGUCCCGCAACGAGCGCAACCCUUUUCCUUACUUGCCAGCAUUUCGGAUGGGAACUUUAAGGAUACUGCCAGUGACAAACUGGAGGAAGGCGGGGACGACGUCAAGUCAUCAU